GUGGUCCACUGGGAAGGUGUCCCGGCCCUGGGAUGCUGGAGGCCAGGUGCUGCUGCUGCCCUGGGCAUGCCAAGGGACAGAGGCGAGCAGGUAUCGUCCAGGCCACCUCCAGAGUCGGAUGGAGAUUUGAGGUACCACAAGUAGGUGCAGAGCCUAAGUUUGGAAACGGCCGCUGCCCAAGUGGGCUGUGGGCCAUGUAUUGACAUCCACGGUGCUGAAGCAUUCUUUUCUGUCGAGGACGGAUUUUGUCUGCUGGUCUUCAGAGAGCUAAGUGUGGGGACUGUUGGUUGGGAGAAGGCAAAAACCUUUGGAAUCACAGGAGGCAAUUUGAAGUUAGCUUAGAGGAGAGGGCUGUAGUGGGCUGGGCCCCUUGGAGGUUAAGGGAGAGAGGGUUUCUCUUCAGCAUCACUCGAGCCUUUGCCGGGCCGGGCAGUUCCAACCCAUCUCCAUGUUCUCGUGCGCUUCGCAUCAUUGGAUGUUGAGUCUCGAUGUCAUUGUCCAUCUUUUCACCCGAGGAGCCUGCCUUUGGGUCUGGCAUGAUUGCCACGGUCUAAAUUUUGCCUACUCUUCAGUGUAGCCACGCUUUUGAGCACUUUUGAGCGUAGCACACGGGCCUCUUGCAUCUUGGCCAUUUGUCGGUCGGUCAUGUUUUGUGAUGUCAUUUCAGCCUUUGGCGGCAGAAUCAUUCUCUAGGGAUCCCUUUGUAUCAGCUGGCAGUCGUUGCCUCCUUCUCUAGGCCUACUGCACUUCUUGAGCAUCCUCUUACUAGCUUUGGCACUAACUUCUCAUAAGGAGUUUACCUUUCACUGUCACGUACUACUGCCAUAGAGCCUUCUUUCCUUUGGCAUCAUCGGCCUCUGGCUCAUCUUGCACUAGGAAUCUUGGGUCCAUCAGGUAAAACUGCUGGGCAGUUUCAGUUUGUGUCUAUGUUAUGUGGUCUGUGUCCGUUGUCUUCAGUGCCAUAGGGCUUUGUGAUGUCUCAAUGCUUUACAGGCAUUGUUAUGGGCCAUAUUGGCAGCAGGAGCGCUUACAUACUUUCCUGGAUCGGGCUUAUUCUGGCAUCUUUAUGGUUUUGCUUUUUGAGACCAGAAGAAGUACACAAGGUGUUCCUAUCCAUCUUCCUUCUCAGUUUUGGUAGUAUCUUUUUUUCAUGUGCCAUUCCCUUGGACUUCUAUAUGAAGUGUA